rnacentral:rRNA from 1 species
GAUGAACGCUGGCGGCGUGCUUAACACAUGCAAGUCGAACGGUGAAGCAGAGCUUGCUCUGUGGAUCAGUGGCGAACGGGUGAGUAACACGUGAGCAACCUGCCCUGGACUCUGGGAUAAGCGCUGGAAACGGCGUCUAAUACUGGAUACGAGACGUGGCCGCAUGGUCGACGUUUGGAACGAUUUUUUGGUUCAGGAUGGGCUCGCGGCCUAUCAGCUUGUUGGUGAGGUAAUGGCUCACCAAGGCGUCGACGGGUAGCCGGCCUGAGAGGGUGACCGGCCACACUGGGACUGAGACACGGCCCAGACUCCUACGGGAGGCAGCAGUGGGGAAUAUUGCACAAUGGGCGAAAGCCUGAUGCAGCAACGCCGCGUGAGGGAUGACGGCCUUCGGGUUGUAAACCUCUUUUAGCAAGGAAGAAGCGAAAGUGACGGCACUUGCAGAAAAAGCGCCGGCUAACUACGUGCCAGCAGCCGCUGUAAAAC